GAUGAACGCUGGCGGCGUGCCUAAUACAUGCAAGUAGAACGCUGAAGCUUGGUGCUUGCACCGAGCGGAUGAGUUGCGAACGGGUGAGUAACGCGUAGGUAACCUGCCUCUUAGCGGGGGAUAACUAUUGGAAACGAUAGCUAAUACCGCAUAAAAGUCGAUAUCGCAUGAUAUUGAUUUGAAAGGUGCAAAUGCAUCACUAAGAGAUGGACCUGCGUUGUAUUAGCUAGUUGGUGAGGUAACGGCUCACCAAGGCGACGAUACAUAGCCGACCUGAGAGGGUGAUCGGCCACACUGGGACUGGGACACGGCCCAGACUCCUACGGGAGGCAGCAGUAGGGAAUCUUCGGCAAUGGGGGCAACCCUGACCGAGCAACGCCGCGUGAGUGAAGAAGGUUUUCGGAUCGUAAAGCUCUGUUGUAAGAGAAGAACGAGUGUGAGAGUGGAAAGUUCACACUGUGACGGUAACUUACCAGAAAGGGACGGCUAACUACGUG
rnacentral:rRNA from 1 species